GCUGUGGCUCAUUGGUAGGGCAUCUGCUUUGCAUGCACAAGGUCACAGGUUCAAUCCUCAGCAUCACCA